rnacentral:rRNA from 1 species
AUGGCGGAGACGGCGCCGGCGACGGCGCUGGACAUCGACGAGAUCCCCUUCGCCGACCUCCUCCUCCUCCUGCUCUCGCCGGAAGCGGCAGCAGCGGGCGACGACAGCGACACCGAUGGCCGGCGCCGCCGCCUCCUGGCCACCGUCUGGGCCGCGCUCGGCCCGGGCGGCGCCGGCCUGCUGGCCGUCGCGGGCGUCCCGCGCGCCGCCGCCCUCCGCCGCCGUCUCCUCCCCCUGGCCCGCCGCCUCGCCCUAAUGGACCACCCGUCCCGUGCCCACCUCCUCAAGAAGCACGGAUUGGGCAGCGACGUGCCUCUCAAGAAGCCCGACAGGUCCGUCUCCUCCUUGGCGCAGCUCCUAAGGUAUGAUUCAGGCAAGCUCCACUCCUCAGAGUUUAUGCGCGAAGCCACCGGAGACACCGAGAUCAGGCCUGGUUGUCCGGAGGAGGUACUGGAAGGUGCCGAUGGAUUUGGGGAGCACAAUGGUGAUGAUGAUGAUGAUGAUGAUGAUGAUGAUGAUGAUCAUGAUAUUGAGAACCUUGGUGAGCUUUUCAAGGAGCUGGGUCUGUGCAUGAUGGAGCUUGGCAUCUUGGUUGCGCGGGCUUGCGACAUUGUUAUCGGUGGGAAUCAGCUGGAGCAGAGCAUUACCGACUUUGGCAGCGCAAAGGCGAGGCUCAUCCACUACCACUCUGAGUUGGAUAACAGGAUUAUCAAGGAGAGGAGCAGCACAAAGAGGAGAAGCUUGGCAAACAAUGCAGCAGCAGCAGCAAGACGUUUAUCGGAUCACAUGGAUACAGGUCAAAUGUCAGGAUCAGAAGAUGGAUCCUGUAUCAAAUCAGCAGAAGAAAAUAGUUUGAUUUCUCUUGUCAACUUAUGGCAAGAGUGGCACUACGAUUACGGGGUGCUGACAGUCUUAACAGCGCCAUUAUUCUUGCGCUCUGCUCUCGGACAGGAAUGCCCGGCCAGCGAAGAAUGCUCUCUUCCUGACGGGCACUCACACCUGCAGCUCUUCAAUAAAAGGAGGAUAUUCUCAGUGAGAUGCUCCCAGGAGAGCUUCAUUGUUCAGGUUGGGGAGGCAGCAGGCAUCCUGUCAGGGGGGAAGCUGAGAUCCACGCUUCAUGCUGUGAGUAGACCAUUAGGCUUGCCAAACAUCAGCCGAGAGACUUUCGUGGUUUUCCUACAGCCGUCAUGGGACAAAACUCUACCUUUCUUGGGCUACUCUUCUGCCGAUGAAGAUGAUUCAAGUGAUCACAUGGAAUUGGCUUUCAGGGGUGAUGGACCAGCCGGGUCUUGUAGUGAACAUAUAUUGAUGCAAGGAAUUCUGAAGAAAAUCCCCCCGCUGUCGUCAAGGCUGAAAGAAGGCAUGACGUUUGCAGAGUACUUUUUAUCUUCAUUGAUGGAUUAUUUUCUUCUGCAGUUGUGA